rnacentral:sRNA from 1 species
AAAGCGCAGAGAAGGCGGGCCCCGUCUGAGGUCUGGCAGUCAGAGACAGCCGGGCGCCCACGGCCCGAGCGCCCACGGCAGCACCAUGCCCGCACUCCUGGAGCGCCCCAAGCUUUCCAACGCCAUGGCCAGGGCGCUGCACCGGCACAUUAUGAUGGAGCGGGAGCGCAAGCGGCAGGAGGAAGAAGAGGUGGAUAAGAUGAUGGAACAGAAGAUGAAGGAAGAACAGGAGAGAAGAAAGAAAAAGGAGAUGGAAGAGAGAAUGUCACUAGAGGAGACCAAGGAACAAAUUCUGAAGUUGGAGGAGAAGCUUUUGGCCCUACAGGAAGAGAAGCACCAGCUUUUCCUGCAGCUCAAGAAAGUUUUACAUGAGGAAGAAAAACGGAGGCGAAAGGAACAGAGGUGGGAUCAGAGUGCUAAAAACUGAAAUGGGGGCCAAGUGGAACUGGGAUCAGGUAGUAAAAGAACCAGUGUUUAAUGGCAAAAGAGAAGGCAUCUGUCCUUGACUUUGACCUGUCUUCCUUUCACUCCAGUGACCUGACCACCCUGA